rnacentral:rRNA from 1 species
AUACGGAGGAUGCAAGCGUUAUCCGGAUUUAUUGGGUUUAAAGGGUGCGUAGGCGGAUGAUUAAGCGUGAGGUGAAAUGCCACUGCUCAACAGUGGAACUGCCUCGCGAACUGGUUGUCUUGAAUGCUCCUGCCGUGGGAGGAAUGUGUGGUGUAGCGGUGAAAUGCAUAGAGAUCACACAGAACACCGAUUGCGAAGGCAUCUCACGAAGGGGUGAUUGACGCUGAGGCACGAAAGCGUGGGGAUCAAACAGGAUUAGAUACCCUGGUAGUCCACGCAGUAAACGAUGAUAACUAACCGCUGGGUCGUAGUGAUUCGGUGGCCAAGCGAAAGCGAUAAGUUAUCCACCUGGGGAGUACGACCGCAAGGUUGAAACUCAAAGGAAUUGACGGGG